CUUUGGGUCUAGUAGCAGACUCUACUAGACCUGUUGUUGUUGUCACUGAAUCAUCUGUUGUAGUUAUCCUUAUUGUUUCUGGCUCAUUGCUAACAGUUGCUGAUGUGGUUGUGCCCAAUGCAGUUGCUGGCAAUGCUGAUGUCACUUGUAGAAAUGUAGAAGCUUUGGGUGUAUUUGCCGACUCUACUAGGCCUGUUGUUGUUCUCACUGCAUUUCCUGUUGUAGCUAUCCUGAUUGUUUCCGGUUCAUUGCUAAUAGUUGCUGAUGUGGUUGUGCCCAGUGCAGUUGCUGGCAAUGCUGAUGUCACCUUUCCAAAUGUAGAAGCUUUGGGUGUAGUAGGAGACUCUAUUAAGCCUGUUGUUGUUGUCACUGUGUCUUCUGUUGUAGUUAUCCUGAUUGUUUCCUGUUCAUUGCUAAGAGUUGUUGAUGUGGAUGGGCCCAGUGCAGUUGCUGGCAAAGCUGAUGUUUCUGGUGCAAAUGUAGAAGUUUUUGCUGUAGUACCAGACACUCUUCGGCCUGUUGUUGUUGUCACUGAAUCCUCUGUUGUAGUUAUCCUUAUUGUUUCUGGCUCAUUGCUAACAGUUGCUGAUGUGGUUGUGCUCAAUGCAGUUGCUGGCAAAGCUGAUGUCACUGGUAAAAAUGUAGAAGCUUUGAGUGUAGUAGCAGACUCUACUAGGCCUGAUGUUGUUGUCUCUGUAUUUUCUGUUGCAGUUAUAAUGAUUGUUUCCAGUCUAUUGCUAACAGUUGCUGAUGUGGUUGUGCCCAAUGCAGUUGCUGGCAAUGCUGAUGUCACCGGUGCAAAUGUAGAAGCUUUGGGUGUAGUAGCAGACUCUACUAGGCCUGUUGUUGUUGUCUCUGUAUUUUCUGUUGCAGUUAUCCUGAUUGUUUCCAGUCCAUUGCUAACAGUUGCUGAUGUGGUUGUGCCCAAUGCAGAUGCUGGCAAAGCUGAUGUUACUGGUGCAAAUGUAGAAGUUUUUGCUGUAGUAGCAGACACUAUUUGGCCUGUUGAUGCUGUCACUGUAUUUCCGGUUGUAGCUAUCCUGAUUGUUUCCGAUUCAUUGCUAACAGUUGCUGAUGUGGUUGUGCCCAAUGCAGUUGCUGGCAAUGCUGAUGUUACCUGUGCAAAUGUAGAAUCGUUGGGUGUAGUAGCAGACUCUACUAAGCCUGUUGUUGUUGUUGUCACUGAAUCUUCUGUUGUACUUAUCCUGAUUGUUUCCGAUUCAUUGCUAACAGUUGCUGAUGUGGUUGUGCCCAGUGCAGUUGCUGGCAAUACUGAUGUUACUGGUGCAAAUGUAGAAGUUUUUGCUGUAGUAGCAGACACUAAUAGGCCUGUUGAUGUUGUCGCUGUAUUUUCUGUUGUAGUUGUCCUGAUUGUUUCAAGUCCAUUGCUAACAGUUGCUGAUGUGGUUGUGCCCAAUGCAGUUGCAUGUAAAACAGAUGUCACUGGUACAAAUGUAGAAGCUUUGGGUGUACUAGCAGACUGUACUACACCUGUUGUUGUCACUGUAUCUUCUGUUGGAGUUAUCUUGAUUGUUUCCAGUCCAUUGCUAACAGUUGCUGAUGUGGUUGUGCCCAAUGCAGAUGCUGGCAAAACUGAUGUUACUAGUGAAAAUGUAGAAGUUUUUGCUGUAGUAGCAGACACUAUUCGGCCUGUUGAUAUUGUCACUGUAUUUCCUGUUGUAGCAAUCCUGAUUGUUUCCUGUUCAUUGCUAAGAGUUGCUGAUGUGGUUGUGCCCAGUGCAGCUGCUGGCAAAGCUGAUGUUUCUGGUGCAACUGUAGAAGUCUUUGCUGUAGUACUAGACCCUCUUCGGCCUGUUGUUGUUGUCACUGUAUUUCCUGUUGUAGCUAUCCUGAUUGUUUCCUGUUCAUUGCUAAGAGUUGCUGAUGUGGUUGUGCCCAAUGCAGUUGCAUGUAAAGCAGAUGUCACUGGUACAAAUGUAGAAGCUUUGGGUGUAGUAGCAGACUCUACUAGGCCUGUUGUCGUUGUCACUGUAUCUUCUGUUGUAGUUAUUCUGAUUGUUUCUGGCUCAUUGAUAACAGUUGCUGAUGUGGUUGUGCUCAAUGCAGAUGCUGGCAAAGCUGAUGUUACUGGUGCAAAUGUAGAAGUUUUUGCUGUAGUAGCAGACACUAUUCGGCCUGUUGUUGUUGUCACUGUAUUUCCUGUUGUAGCUAUCCUGAUUGUUUCCGGUUCAUUGCUAACAGUUGCUGAUGUGGUUGUGCCCAAUGCAGUUGCUGGCAAAGCUGAUGUUACUGGUGCAAAUGUAGAAGUUUUUGCUGUAGAAGCAGACACUAUUCGGCCUGUUGAUGUUGUCACUGUAUUUUCUGUUGUAGUUAUGCUGAUUGUUUCCGGUACAUUGCUAACAGUUGCUGAUGUGGUUGUGCCCAAUGCAGUUGCAUGUAAAGCAGAUGUCACAGGUACAAAUGUUGAAGCUUUGGGUGUAGAAGCAGACUCUACUAGGCCUGUUGUUGUUGUCACUGUAUCGUCUGUUGUAGUUAUCCUGAUUGUUUCCUGUUCAUUGCUAAGAGUUACUGAUGUGGUUGUGCCCAAUGCAGUUGCUGGAAAAGCUGAUGUUACUGGUGCAAAUGUAGAAGUUUUUGCUGUAGAAGCAGACACUAUUCGGCCUGUUGAUGUUGUCACUGUAUUUUCUGUUGUAGUUAUACUGAUUGUUUCCGGUACAUUGCUAACAGUUGCUGAUGUGGUUGUGCCCAAUGCAGUUGCUGGCAAAGCUGAUGUCACUGGUAAAAAUGUAGAAGCUUUGGGUCUAGUAGCAGACUCUACUAGACCUGUUGUUGUUGUCACUGUAUCUUCUUUUGUAGUUAUCCUGAUAGUUUCUGGCUCAUUGCUAACCGUUGCUGGUGUGGUUGUGCCCAAUGCAGUUGCUGGCAAUGCUGAUGUCACCCGUACCAAGGUAGAAGCUUUGGGUGUAGUAGCAGACUCUACUAGGCCUGUUGUUGUUGUCUCUGUAUUUUCUGUUGCAGUUAUCCUGAUUGUUUCCAGUCCAUUGCUAACAGUUGCUGAUGUGGUUGUGCCCAAUGCAGUUAGUGGCAAAGCUGAUGUCACUGGUGCAAAAGUAGAAGCUUUGGGUCUAGUAGCAGACUCUGCUAGAACUGUUGUUGUUGUCACUGUAUCUUCUGUUGUAGUUAUCCUGAUUGUUUCUGGUUGGUUGCUAACAGUUGCUGAUGUGCUUGUGUCCAAUGCAGUUGACGGCAAUGCUGAUCUCAGUGGUACAAAAGUAGAAUCUUUGGGUGUAGUAGCAGACUCUUUUAGGCCUGUUAUUGUUGUCACUGUAUCUUCUAUUGUAGUUAUCCUGAUUGUUUCUGGCUCAUUGCUAACAGUUGCUGAUAUGGUUGUGCCCAAUGCAGUUGCUGGCAAUGCUGAUGUCACUGGUAAAAUUGUGGAAGCUUUGGGUGUAGUAGCAGACUCUUUUAGGCCUGUUGUUGUUGUCACUGGAUCUUCUGUUGUAGUUAUCCUGAUUUUUUCUGGCUCAUUGCUAACAGUUGCUGAUGUGGUUGUGCCCAAUGCAGUUGCUGGCAAAGUUGAUGUCACUUGUAGAAAUGUAGAAGCUUUGGGUGUAGUAGCAGACUCUACUUGGCCUGUUGAUAUUGUCACUGUAUCUUCUAUUGUAGUUAUCCUGAUUGUUUCUGGCUCAUUGCUAACAGUUCCUGAUAUGGUUGUGCCCAAUGCAGUUGCUGGCAAUGCUGAUGUCACUGGUAAAAUUGUGGAAGCUUUGGGUGUAGUAGCAGACUCUACUAGACCUGUUGUUGUUUUCACUGUAUCUUCUGUUGUAGUUAUCCUGAUUGUUUCCGGCUCAUUGCUAACAGUUGCUGAUGUGGUUGUGCCCAGUGCAGUUGUUGGCAAUGCUGAUGUCACCUGUACAAAUGUAGAAGCUUUGGGUGUAGUAGCAGACUCUAUUAGGCCUGUUGUUGUUGUCGCUGUAUCUUCUGUUGUAGUUAUUCUGAUUGUUUCUCGCUCUUUGCUAACAGUUGCUGAGGUGGUUGUGCCUAUUGCAGUUGCUGGAAAUGCUGAUGUUGAUUCUAUUGAUGUUAACAUAGUUGCACUUCUUGUCUCUGCAGCUGUAAAUAUAUCAUUAGAUGAUGGUAUUUUUGUUGUUGGUGAUGCUGUUUCUGUUUCAGACACUGUUGUUUUACUUGGUGUUAUUGGAUCAGUUUUGGCUGUUAAAAGUUCUGUUGUGACUUGAGGAGAUGAUGCAGAUUGUAAUGCACUGAUUGUCACUGCCUCUGUUGUAG
ensembl:lncRNA